rnacentral:rRNA from 1 species
UACGGAGGGUGCAAGCGUUGCUCGGAAUUAUUGGGCGUAAAGGGCAGGUAGGUGGUCUCAUUUGUCUGGGGUGAAAGCCUUGAGCUUAACUCAAGAAGUGCCCCGGAAACGGUGAGACUAGAGUGCUGGAGAGGUAAGUGGAAUUCCCGGUGUAGCGGUGAAAUGCGUAGAGAUCGGGAGGAACACCAGAGGCGAAGGCGGCUUACUGGACAGCUACUGACACUCAACUGCGAAAGCGUGGGGAGCAAACAGG